rnacentral:tRNA from 1 species
AGAUUUUAAGUUAUUUAAACUAUAUACCUUCAAAGUAUAAAAUAUCUUUGAUAGUUAAAUCUU